CUUGGUGAUUUGACGCAGAGGUCACACCCGUUCUCAUUCCGAACACGGAAGUUAAGCUCUGUAGUGCCGAUGAUACUUGCAAAGGGAAAGUAGGUAAUCGCCAAGA
rnacentral:rRNA from 1 species